rnacentral:rRNA from 1 species
UACGGGGGGGCAAGCGUUGUUCGGAAUUACUGGGCGUAAAGGGCUCGUAGGCGGCCAACUAAGUCGGACGUGAAAUCCCCAGGCUCAACCUGGGAACUGCGUCCGAUACUGGAUGGCUUGAGUUUGGGAGAGGGAUGCGGAAUUCCAGGUGUAGCGGUGAAAUGCGUAGAUAUCUGGAGGAACACCGGUGGCGAAGGCGGCAUCCUGGACAGUCUGACGCUGAGUGAGCGAAAGCCAGGGGAGCAAACGGG